rnacentral:rRNA from 1 species
AAACCGUUCAGGUGUAAACCUGAGGAACCCAAAAGUUCGAAUGGGGAGAUUCAUCGUCAGCGAAGCAGGCUUCACGGUGGCACGUGAUGCCACGGGACCUCGGUCUCGCGGUACGCGUUCAUCGCGCAUGACCUGCGACGUCGGCGCGCACUUCUCCCCUAGUAGGACGUCGCGACCCGUUGGGUGCCGGUCUAAGGCCUGGGUGGUAGCCUGUCUCGUCGCUUCGGCGCAUCGAGGCAGACCCCCGGUUCGCCAGACGCCGGCUGCCCGGCGGUACUCCCAUGGUAUCGGGCCGCAAGAUCGAACUGCGUCGGACCCGUCGCAAGCGCGAUCAGUGUUACACGGAUGCACGGACCACGUGCCGUCACCCGUGCCUGGUCAGCUGUUGGCAUAGGCGGUGUUCUCCGACUGGCCAUAAUCGAACGAGCGAUACCGGUCAGCGACGCUACUGCUUUGGGUAAUCUCAGGACCCGUCUUGAAACACGGACCAAGGAGUCUAACAUGUGCGCGAGUCAUUGGGACCGCAUGCCUAAAGGCGAAAUGAAAGUGAAGGUCGGCCUUACCGCCGACCGAGGGAGGAUGGGCCGCGUCAAGAUGCGGCUCCGCACUCCCGGGGCGUCUCGUUCUCAUGCGAGAA